rnacentral:rRNA from 1 species
ACGCAGGAGGCUAAGGAAUGCAGACGAUUGGAAAUGUCUGUCUAAGCAGUAAGUCUUGAUAGGAGUCAAAUGCUUCUGUCUGUACGGACAAGCUGUGAUGGGGAGGGAAAUAAUAGUACCGAAGUUCCUGAUGUCACACUGCCGAGAAAAGCUUCUAGUGAGAAAACAACGACCCGUACCGCAAACCGACACAGGUAGUCGAGGAGAGAAUCCUAAGGUGAGCGAGAGAACUCUCGUUAAGGAACUCGGCAAAAUGACCCCGUAACUUCGGGAGAAGGGGUGCUGAUCUAAGAUCAGCCGCAGUGAAUAGGCCCAAGCGACUGUUUAUCAAAAACACAGGUCUCUGCAAAAUCGUAAGAUGAAGUAUA